rnacentral:rRNA from 1 species
UCUGGAUUAUAAACUUAUUUACCUGAGCACUAUGAAUAGAAGAUUCUGUGUUAAUUUAAAACUCAAAAGGCUUGGCGGUGUUUUAGACUUUUCAGGGGAACCUGUCUCUUAAUCGAUAGUCCACGAUAGACCUAACUUUAUUUUAGGGUAUGUAUACCGUCGUCAACAGGUGACUUUUAAAAAAAUAAAAGUUAGCAAGUAAAAAGAUUUAUUUUUUAUGUCAGAUCAAGGUGCAGCUUAUAAAAAAGUGAGGAUGGGUUACAAUUAAUAAAAUUUUAAUUACGAAGAUGUUGAUGAAAUUCAUAUUUGAAGGAGGACUUGAAAGUAAAAAUUUAAUUAUAUAGAUGUUUUGAAUAUAGCUCUGAAACGUGCACACAUCGCCCGUCGCUCUCGUUGAAAAAUGAGAUAAGUCGUAACAUAGUAAUGGUAACGGAAGUUGCCGUUAGAUG